CACACCCUGGCCAGGGAUGGCACACUCCUGGCUACAUUCACAGACCCAGCACUAGUGGGCCCACAUGGUCUACAUGUGACCCCUGCAGGCCAGGUGCUGGUCUGUGGAUACUGGCCCCACACUGUACUACAGGUGGGCUGGGAGGGAGAGAGUAAGGUGGCUAAUCUUGCUACUCAGGAGGAUGGAGUGAGGUGGCCACAGUCAGUCUGCUACAGCAGCACAACAUCCUCCAUCAUUGUGGGACAGGACUUGGACGACAACAUCCUGGUGUUCAGAGUGGAAUAGUGUGUACAUUUGCUGCUGGGUCGGGACAACGAUGCUGAGGAUGUGGGGGACAAGCAUGACGCAGAAGGAGAGCACCAGCAUUAAUAUCGAGUUGGCCAAGCAACAGCACCAGUCUGGCCUGCAGGAGCCCCAAUACAGAACCAUCCUUUCCCUCCCCUGAUCCCUAGCUCCUCCCACUGGACCUCCGGCCUCAAAGGUACACCCUUCGACUCUCAGCCCGAAGUUAAUCAGAACUCAAACUCGGCCCUUAACAAUAUCCGCGAGGCCAGCAUAUAAGCUCAGCUUCUGAGCUUCAGCAACUGCUAAGCACAGAAGACAAAGGAGUAGUAAAAGGCUCAGCCAAAUCAAAGUCCGGCAAUGUGAGGGUGACACAGCCUUUCCAUGUCCUGGUAUUGCAACAUGAAGGACAUUUUAGCUGAAACUAACAAGGGAGAGAACUGUAGAUCUGCACCAGCACAGAGCACCAGCAUUGAUAUCGAGUUGGCCCAGCAACCGCACGAGUCCUACCUGCAGGAGCCCCAGUCCAGAACGACCCUUCCCCUCCCCUGACUUCUAACUCAUCCCCCUUGACCUCCUGACUCAAAAAGUCAGCAUGAUUGAAUAACUCUGUUCUGCAGGAAAUUCUGAGCAUGAUUCUUUUCUGAACAAACGCAAUGCCCAUGCCACGUUUUCCAAACAUAAGCCUGGGUAGUUUUGUUAAGCUAGAGUUCCCUGUGGGCCUGAGAGGGACGAGUGUUACAGACACGAAAAGUAAUAGCAGUAGUUAUGGUAACGCCAACAGUCAGUUGUUGCUGUUGGACAUCACAACAAAUAUCAUGAAAAAUAAAACGUUCAAUAACUUGUUCCAAUCUUUAUGGGACAAACAGAAAUUGAACGGGAGAAAAUCAAGGAACAAUAAAAGCGUAAGCUUUCCUAGUGGGAUACUUCUGCUGUUAAUAGUUUGGACGACUGUAGGGUUACGGACUGCCCCAUAUUGUCCUCUCAGCGGCCAAAAUAUCAUAAUAGAACGGACUUUUGGCAAUGUUACUGACAAACAAAGGGAGUAAUGACUUGGUUGUGAAUACCCAGAGCACUAGACAUCCAUGCUGACAAAGAAAGGCAGUAAUGACUUGGUUGUGAACACCUCGAGCACGAUACAUCCAUGCUGACAAAGAAAGGCAGUAAUGACUUGGUUGUGAACACCCAGAGCACAAUACAUCCAUGCUGACACAGAAAGAAGUAAUGACUUGGUUGUGAACACCCAGAUCACGAUACAUCCGUGCUGAUACAGAAAGGCAGUAAUGACUAAGCUGUGAACACCCAGAGCACGAUACAUCCAUGCUGACACAGACAGGCAGUAAUGACUUGGCUGUGAACACAGAACACGAUACACCCAUGCUGACACAGAAAGGCAGUAAUGACUUUGCUGUGAACUCAGAGCACAAUACAUCCAUGCUUACACAUAAAGGCAGUAAUGACUUGGCUGUGAACACAGAGCUUAAUACAUCCAUGCUGACACAGAAAGGCAGUAAGUACUUGGUUGUAAACACCCAGAGCACAAUACAUCCAUGAUGACACAGAAAGGCAGUAAAGACUUGGUUGUUUAAACACCCACAGCACAUUACAUCCAUGAUGACACAGAAAGGCAGAAAAGCCUUGGUUGUAAACACCCAGAGCACAACACAUCCAUGAUGACACAGAAAGGCAGUAAAAACUUGGUUGUUAACACCCAGAGCACAUUACAUCCAUGAUGACACAGAAAGGCAGUAAUGACUUGGCUGUGAACACAGAACAGGAUACACCCAUGCUGACAAAGAAAGGCAGUAAUGACCUUGCUGUGUACACAGAGCACAAUACAUCCAUGCUGACACAGAAAGGCAGUAAUGACUUGAUUGUGAACACAGAGCACAAUACAUCCAUGCUGACACAGAAAGGCAUUUAUGACUUGGUUGUGAACACAGAGCACAAUACAUCCUUGUUGACACAGAAAGGCAGUAAUGACUUUGCUGUUAACUCAGAGCACGAUACAUCCAUGCUGACACAGAAAAGCAGCAAUGACUUGGAUGUAAACAUCCAGAGCACAAUACAUCCAUACUGACACAGAAAGGCAGUAAAGACUUGGUUGUAAACACCCAGAGCACAAUACAUCCAUGCUGACACAGAAAGGCAGUAAAGACUUGGUUGUAAACACCCAGAGCACAAUACAUCCAUGCUGACACAGAAAGGCAGUAAAGACUUGGUUGUAAACACACAGAGCACAAUACAUCCAUGCUGACACAGAAAGGCAGUAAAGACUUGGUUGUUAACACCCAGAGCACAAUACAUCCAUGCUGACACAGAAAGGCAGUAAAGACUUUGUUGUAUACACUGAGAGAUCCAUACAUCCAUGGGGUGUGCCACAGACUCAAAUUACGCCCACUAUUGUGAACAAGGUGCUUAAAGUGAACAUGUCUGGUUUCUGUUUUCUGUUUUGUUAUGAGCACUUAGCACUCCGAGCCCAAAAGGCCUCACAUUGAAUUGAGAAGGCUUUGAAAAUGACAGCAGUUUUGUUGUGUGGUCCAGUACGCCCUUCGACUCGCAACCUGAAGAAAGCAGAACUCAAACUCGCCUCUUAGCAAUAUCAACAAGGCCAGCAUGUCAUCUCAGCUUCUUGAGCUUCAGUGAACUUUACUAGCAAACAUGACAAACGUCAUUGAAGUGAAAGUCAAUGACAACCCCCUUCUUGCACAAAUACUACAGCUCGCUUAAGAAAUUCAGCAUGAAGACGUCUUGUGUCAGACUACCAAGCCUCCUAUCAAUAUCUCCUCCCAUGUUGGCUACAUCAACACUUCCAACAGCAGAGCCUAGGUGAAUUCGACUUCCGUCUCAGCAUUGAUGUGGCUUAGCAACAAUUGGAUGAUUGCGUCGACAAAUUAGGCCGGACAAGUUGCUCGAACUGAAACGAUCUGAUUCAACAGGUAGAGCAGGCGUUGCCUGACACGUCCGUUAAUGUGACUGACCUCGAUAUGGUGUUCUCGAAAAAUGUGAACCUUAGGCCUGGAGAGCAGUAUGCGAUUGACGCCAUUCAACAACAGUUGUUGUCGGCAAUUCUCGGGUUUGGGGUGGCGACUUUGGCGUUGGGACUCACUCCAUCUCUGUCUAUGGCCCAGUCGCAGCAGCAGCAGCAACAAGAACAAUAAGAAAGCCGGUUCCUACAGGACCAGACGCACUCAUAGAUUGGUACGCAGCUGAACAACAGGCUCUCUGGUCAGCUGGACCUGAACGCCCAGGGAUUUUUUCUGGCCAAGUUUCAUGGGGCAAAUGCCCAAUGAGUUCUACCCGAGGGUGCAGCGUCUCUAGACCUGAGGCUCCAGACUGCCUUACUCAGGGGCCAAGAUUACUUUAUCUGCAAGAGGCCUUAUACUCACAGGUUCCCCAAAUACAACUCAGCCACAACAUCCUAAUGGGACAACUUGUCAAUCAACAUGGAACAGUACCCUGAAAAUCACGACCAUCUAAAGAACUGUGCAACUGUGCCAAGCGUGACCCUUUAGAGAAAGGGGCUUCCAUGCCGAAGGUCAAAUUGGUACCAAUCUGGGCUCAAGCAGCAGCCUCAGUCUAUAAUCUAUUAUCUAUUAACAUUCCAAUCUCACAGUAAUAUUACAAAAACAUGACCUGCAAGGUGGAGAUGUGAAUACAAUGAGUAUUAAAUCCCACAAACCAUGCAGAGGUUAUAUGGGAGUCAAUGUUCUGUAAGUUGGUCUGUUAGAGGGGCGUUUCGUCUGCAUUUUAUGUAAACAUAGUUUUACCUCACCACAUAUGUAUAUGUCUACAUUUCUAAAGGGAAUCAGAUGAAACUUCAAUCAUGUGACCCCCAUGAAGUCUGGGUUGAGGUUUAGUUAUCAUUUUGUGACAAAGCUCUAACUUAUCAUUGGCCAAGUAACUCUCUUGCAUAAUAUCAACUGACUGUUUCUGUAUCUCACCAUACAUGGAAUUUCAGUGGCUGUGUUACUUAUAUUUUAUUCAGGGGAGUUAACUAAUAUUGUGCACAGAAGUGUGUUUAUAUUUGUGUAUAAAAACAACGAAAACAUUAAAUCCCUUGCACCACUUGUCAUCUUUGAUUACAUUAUAACAAAUUAUCAUAUAUAGCUUAUUUUUCAGUGGCUGUUGUUCAGUGUCAAGCGGAAUCCUAUAGCAACCAAGCCACGUCAGCACAGCAGCAAAAACAGUUUCAGCAGCAGUCAUAUAGUAAACAUCAACAACAGUGUAGCAUAUGCAUUAAAAUA